GAUGAAGAACGCAGCGAAAUGCGAUAAGUAAUGUGAAUUGCAGAAUUCAGUGAAUCAUCGAAUCUUUGAACGCACAUUGCGCCCCCUGGUAUUCCGGGGGCAUGCCUGUUCGAGCGUCAUUUCACCACUCAAGCCUCGCUUGGUAUUGGGCAACGCGGUCCGCCGCGUGCCUCAAAUCGACCGGCUGGGUCUUCUGUCCCCUAAGCGUUGUGGAAACUUUCGCUAAAGGGUGUUCGGGAGGCUACGCCGUAAAACAACCCCAUUUCUAAGGUUGACCUCGGAUCAGGUAGGGAUACCCGCUGAACUUAAGCAUAUCAAUAAGCGGAGGA
rnacentral:misc_RNA from 1 species